rnacentral:rRNA from 1 species
CCUGGCUCAGGAUGAACGCUGGCGGCGUGCCUAACACAUGCAAGUCGAGCGGAGAUAGUUGAAGCCUAGCGAUGACUAUCUUAGCGGCGGAUGGGUGAGUAACACGUGGGUAACCUGCCCUGUACUGGGGAAUAACAGCUGGAAACGGCUGUUAAUGCCGCAUAUGCGCACGGAGCCGCAUGGCCCUGGGCGGAAAGAUUUAUCGGUACAGGAUGGGCCCGCGCCGGAUUAACUAGUUGGCGGGGUAACGGCCCACCAAGGUGAUGAUCCGUAGCCGACCUGAGAGGGUGACCGGCCACAUUGGGACUGAGACACGGCCCAAACUCCUACGGGAGGCAGCAGUGGGGGAUAUUGCACAAUGGGGGAAACCCUGAUGCAGCGACGCCGCGUGAAGGAUGACGUAUUUCGGUAUGUAAACUUCUAUCAGCGGGGAAGAAGAUGACGGUACCCGACUAAGAAGCCCCGGCUAACUACGUGCCAGCCGCUGC